rnacentral:rRNA from 1 species
UCGGGAAUCUUGCACAAUGGGCGAAAGCCUGAUGCAGCAACGCCGUGUGAGCGAGGAAGGUCUUCGGAUCGUAAAGCUCUGUUGUUGGGGACGAAGGGCGAAGGGUUAAUAGCCCCUAGCCUGACGGUACCCUUCGAGGAAGCCCCGGCUAACUACGUGCCAGCAGCCGCGGUAAUACGGAGGGAGCUAGCGUUGUUCGGAAUUACUGGGCGUAAAGCGCGCGUAGGCGGCUAUCCAAGUCAGGGGUGAAAUCCCGGGGCUCAACCCCGGAACUGCCCUUGAAACUAGGUAGCUAGAAUACUGGAGAGGUGAGUGGAAUUCCGAGUGUAGAGGUGAAAUUCGUAGAUAUUCGGAAGAACACCAGUGGCGAAGGCGACUCACUGGACAGUUAUUGACGCUGAGGUGCGAAAGCGUGGGGAGCAAACAGGAUUAGAUACCCGCGUAGUCC